UUUUAUAUUUGUUUGUCUUGUAUGUGCAAUCCAUAAUCACUACAUACGGGAAUGUGUUGAACAGUUUGAUAGCAUUUGGAUGAGCCCAAAAUACAUCUCUAAUGACUUCCGAUCCAGGCUCAUGUCUUUCAAAGUGGACGUACUUGUCACCGUCCAACUUCUUCAACAAGUGUUGCAUUUCUGUCUAUGACCCGCGGAGGGAUUUUCUUAACCUCUUGCAAGCACCAUAAAUCUGAGAUAUGGUAGUCAAGUUUAAAGGAUUGUUUUCCUUCAAAGUCAACAACAUCUUUCUCGGUGGAACCCA
rnacentral:lncRNA from 1 species